UGCGUGUUGGCUGUGCAACUUCCUUUCUGAGAACAUGCUUUACAAAGAAGAUUUGUUAUUACACAAGGGGGGUGCUUCUCACACAUCCUAGAGCACGGCAAAAAGAAGGAAAGAGGUGGUGUUUGCAAAUCACACAACUACAACAAGAUGCUGGGACUACUUGUCUCCUUUUUGAUCGCUGUUCCCAGGGACAAAUAUUUUAGGAAAUCACUUUCCCAGAGUACCUCUUGAACUUAAACUUGCAAAGUAGUACUUGUAAACUUGAACUGAUGAUUUUGAACUGGUGUGCUUGAACUUCAUCAUUGUGAUGCUGAAGUUGUGAACUUUAACUUUAAUUGGUGUCCUUGAACUUGUUCUUCAUGAUGCGACGGCUGACCAAAACUUGCGAGCAGCCGGACUUGAGGAAACAGCCGUGACCAAAAUAUGUCACAAACAAUACAAUUAUUAACCUAUAAAAGAUAAUUAUAGUUUUAA